GGGUGUCUGUGCUCGUGUAGCCAUUGGUCAGGUCCUUCUGUCUGUUCGCUGCAAGGAUAGCAACAGCCCUCAUGCUCAGGAGGCUCUACGCCGUGCAAAAUUUAAGUUUCCUGGUCGUCAAAAGAUUAUCGUCAGCAGGAAAUGGGGAUUUACCAAGUACAAUCGAACUGACUAUCUGCGAUGGAAGUCUGAGAACAGGAUUAUGCCUGAUGGUGUGAAUGCCAAGCUUCUUGGAUGUCAUGGACCUUUGGCGCUAAGGCAACCUGGAAGAGCAUUUGUGGAUGCAGCUACUCUGUGAUGAGUUUUAUUGGAAUUUGAAUGUUGUUGCUUUCUGAGUACACAGAGAUUUUGCUUUUGUUUAUCUGGAUCUUCUUUGUUUCAGACUUGUUAGUUAACAUGUUGAAUACAUAACCUUUCAUUUUUGUCUCGAAUUUGUUUGGUGAUAGGUUUUUUCUCACGCCGGCGCCGGAAUUGACACUGUGGCAGCCGAAAUUGAUAUGUGGUAAAUUUUUUUAAAAAAACCACCUCAUCAUCUUCCCCAACCCCCCCUCCCCACUCCCAAACCCUAAUUUUCCCAUCUUCCCAAACCCGCCGCCCCUGUUGCCACCAUCGCUGCCAGUCGCCCCCUUACUCUCCCCAAACCCGUCGGCCCUCCCCCUCCCCAGAUCUAUCCUUCUUUCUCUAUCUCCCAAAAUCGGCCUGCCGCCACCAUCGGGCCAGAGAGUUCCAACAGCGAUUGAGAUAGAGGCGGCCCAGUUGGAAAUCGAGAGAUGAGGACGGACUCACCUGUGUGGCGAUCUGCGACCAAGGAAAACGCGACGGCGUCGAACCAGGGCAACGACCUGCAAUUUCAGGCGAGAGGGUCAGGGCUCAUCUUUUGCCUCGAAGUGUGAGUGGCAUCGGAGGCGAGGCGUGGCCUCACCGGGAAUCCAAAGGCCAAUUGAACUGCGAUCUCAUGGCGGGGCCAUCAGUCUCGCCGGAAGAUUCAGCCGAAGCGGCGGAUUUCUUGGGGAGUUAGGAUUCAAUUGUCUUGAAAGGAAAAUAUGAGAGAGAGAGAGAGAGAGAGAGAAAGAGAGAGGACUUUGUCGUGAAGUAGCAGCUCGUCCCAGCGACGUGAAGGCAUGCUCGCCGGCGGUGGCGGCGGCAGAGGUGGUGGCAGCGGGGUGGGGGAGGGGAAUUAGGGUUUUGGCAUGGGGGAAGGAAUAAGAAGAAGGGGUAUUUUCGUAUAUAUGUAUUUUUUAAUGCCACAUGUAAAAAAAAUUCAAGUGUCAUUCUGGUUGCCACAGUAGUCAAUUCCGGCGCCGGCAUGAGAAAAACUAAUUAUCGGACAAAUUCGAGACAAAAUAAAAGCUUAUAUAUUUAAAAGUAAAAAAAUAAAAUUAAGUGCAAAAACCAAUUUCAUGUAAACAUUAUGGAUUUACAGGCAAUUAACCCUUAAUUAUAUGCUUGCAAUUUGUUGACUAACCAUAGAAAUGCGAUUCACAUUUUAUCCAAUCAAGCUAUAAUGAAAGAGUGAUUCACACGUUUUCAAAUUUUAUAGUCAUCUCAUUGUGCUCUCAACAGCAUUUACCGUGAAAAGAUAUUAAUCUUUAUAGAUAAGAAUAGUGAGAUCAAUCUUUUAUUUAUUUAGAUGUAUUUAAAUUUUGGAAAAUUUUAAAUUUUUUAAUUAUUUUUAUUAUUUAAAUUUGUUUUGCUUGAAUCUUAAUUAUCUUAUUAAAAGUGAGAUUGGAGAAAUUUUAUUUUUGAAAAUAAAAUACCCAAUCAUGUUAAAUUUAUAUUAUUGAAUUGUGAAAGGUAUAUUACCUUUCUAAUUUCUUGAACUCUGAGUUUGCAUUCGCCGUCAUCAAUAGAUAAAUGAGUUUGCAUUCUCGUAGCAUUUUCAUCUCAUGUUCUUCAUUACUCAUUCUAAGAUCAAAUGUUUUUCAUUUCUCGGUCAAUUUGUGUAAUUUGAUUGUUUAUUAACUUCAUAUAAUCUUAGUACAUCAUACCAAACAGCAUACUCUCUCCGUCCAUGAAAAAUAUGACACUUUUACCAUUUUUGACGUCCACCAAAAGGAUAGCACAUUCCUUUUAAAAUAUAGUCCCGCGUCUUUUCCUUAACUUUUAUCCUUACAAAUACUUCUUAUUUACAAAAAAAAUCGUCUCAAAUUCAAUCUCAACCACACAUCUCAUAAAAAUAUUGGGACCCUUUCUCCACUACAUCAAAAUCGUGGGACCUUUUAUCCGCUACACAAAAAUCAUCACCAAUUUAAUUUAUUAAAACUUGUGCCCACCAAAAGUGUUAUACUUUUUGUGGACGGAUGGAGUAUUAUAUUUUAUAGAUAUUUUAAUGCAUUCUACCAAACAUAAUAUUAGUAUGACAUAUAGUGAAAGACAUCCUAGUCAAACAUAUCACACCUUAUCUCAUACUGCAUAUCAAACGAGUCUCAAGUGGUGGGAUCGAUAUCAUAACGAGUGCUAUGAGGGAAGAAAGAUUUAUAAACAUAAAUAAUAUAAAGCAACAAAAUAAUACAAUUUAUAAAUAAAUGACUUACACAAUUAGACUCCACCUUAUGAUACCAAAUAAUUUUCCAAAACUUCACCAACGAUAGACUGUUAUAUGUGUACGCACUGCACAUUACUUGGAUGUGAGUACUGACACUAAUCACUCAACCCCUCAAUAAACAAGUGUCUACUACUCUUUGAGAAUGUACACUCAAUAGUAUUUAAUCUUUGAGAACACUAUACUACUUAAACAAAUACAUGAACUGAUAUAUACUAGGAAGAGUUACAAUGGUAGAAUCCGGGGAAACACAUUGGAGGAAUAAAAGACACUCGACACUACAUUGUGUAAGAUUAAUUCAAUUUAGCACGAAUCCCUCCCCCACCUCCCCCAAACCCUUUUGAAAGAAAAUGAGUCUUCUUUAAUAGUGCUGAAGUCCUAAAUCUUCUCUUGUAGCUCAAGAAAUAAAAUUUCUUUGUUGAAAUAGAUCUUUGACUUAAUUGUAUAAUGACUUUCUUUAUAAAUAAACUUCUCUCGUUGAGUAGAUCUUCAUAUCAUGUAUGUUAAUUCAUAUUUCAGCAUAGUUUACAAUAAGGAUGAGAUCAUAUUUUGUUGAUUUUCUUUUAUCGUACAAAUAAGAGAAUUGUCAUAUAUAAGAAACAUUGUGUGUUAGACUCUUAAAGACACUCGUAUCUCAAAAAAUACCGGGAACAAAAAUCUUUAUUUACACAAUUAACAAUCUUCCCUAACAAUGACUAUAGUCCUAUGUUGCAUAGGUACGGAGGUGUGGAUGCGGGGGCGAUACGAUACGAGUACGGGGAUACGAGUUUUUAAAAAUUAUAGGGUGCGAUUUGGCAAUGAUACAUCUAAUUAUUAAAAUUUUAUGAUAUAUAAUGCUUAUAAAAUAUAUACAAUUUAAAUUUUCUUAAAUUAAUUAUAUGUAAUUUACAUUUUAUUUUACCCAAAAGUUAAGCAUUUUCAAUUAUAUAAGUUAAUUGAGCAACAAUAUAAUGAUUCAAAUAUUAUUAGUCCAAUAUAUAAGUCAUAACUGAAAAUAAAAUUAUCAAAAUAACCUUCUGUAGGCCUUUCGCGCACGAGAUACGUGAAUUUCGCCUAUGGAAUUUGCGAAUCUGGUUUAUUUUAAUAAAUUGUUUUAAAAGAUACGCCACGUGGCGAAUCGGGUGCGAAUCCGACGAGAAUCCGAGAGAAUCGCAUCCUAAAAGAAUCCAAUUCGCCGUACAUACUAAUUUUUGAAGAAUCCGUGCAUCAUAGCUAUAGUCUAUAGGUAGCAUUUUCAUCAAAGGUUCGGGUGGCUCAUAAAUUUAAAAGUUAUACUGUAAUUUGAAGUAUAUCCAAUUAAUUUUUUUUGAACAUGUGAAUUCCACUAGUAAGAAGUCAUUAGAUAUCUUUCCCACCACAAGAUGUUUUUUAAUCGAAAAGAAACUUUACAAAAAGUUGGAAAUAAUUAAUAAAGAAAUAUAUUUGUGAUAAACACUUCUAAUAAUAUAAAGCAUAAUAAAUCUUUAAUUUCCUAAUAUGUCGAAAUAUUAUAAUCUGAAUUAUUGCACUGAGAAUGACAAGAAACAACUUCAUUAAUAUGGGUCACAUUUGGAAAAGCAAACGUAAUGUAGCUUAAUAGCUCCAUCCAUUUUGCUGUAAAAUCAAGUGAUUCCCAUUGAUCGUUGACUCUUGCGUUUCACGUGAGGAUAUGUAAAAAUAAAUAUUUUUGGAAAUUUAAUUUCAUUUUGAUACUAUAUUUUUAGCCUCAAUAUCAAAUUGAAAUAUAGAAUAACAAGAUGAUGCUUAUUCAUGCAUAUCCCGAUGCUUAUUUCUAUGCACAGUAACAUGAGAUGAGAUUCUUUGAGGUUUAAUCUCGUGUUGUAUUUCACUAAUUACAUGGUAUUCGUAAUGAUCUUAUUGUAUUGUAGACAACAAGGAUAUUCACAUUUAUUCCCAACCAAAUAGGUCGAGGUUCCUCUUUUUUUUUUUUUUUUCCUGAACCAUGAACUCAUAUCUCUAAUUUGAGGAAUAGCUGAUAUUCAAAUCUGUUCAUCAAUAUAUACAAGACUUUGCAAAAGACGCCAAAGAUUAGGCAACAAAAUUAGUCGAGUGUUACACGUGAACAAAAAAAAAAAAAAAAAAAAAACACAACAUAACUUUUUUGGACGAUACUCGAGCAUUUCUUGCAUCUCCAAAAACUGCCGACUCGUAAUUAUUAUUUUUCUUAAUUUUUUCGUCGACACAUUCUUAAUUAUGUUAUUUCUUUAAUUAUUUCUUCGUGUUAAAAAUAUUAUUUAUUUAUUUUUUAAAUAUUUUUAAAUUAAACAUGUUUAUAAUAUGGACAAUACAUGCAUAUAAAUCGAUGCAUAGUAAUAUAAACCCAUACAUGUCUUUUGGGAAAGUUCUAUAUUUUGAUGAUAUACCAAAAUUGAUAUACAAACCAAAACUCUUGAUAAUAUCUCAGGUUGUAAUUAGUUUAAGCUUAUGUGUUAGGAAGUUGAAUUUUUUUUUUAUAAGUACCAAGUCAAAGAAGAAUUCAAGGCGAAAUAUCAGUUGAUAAGCAAGAAAAAUGAUAUGACGAUCAACCUAACUGAAUAAUACAUACUCAGUUGAAGCUAGUGUAAAAUAUAAAUACCAAAGUCAAUCAAUUGGCACCACAAGAAAAGCUAUCGGACACCGACGGAAUUAAUUCCGUCACAGAAUAACAACCGAAUAACGACGGAAAUACACCUCUAUACUUAACGAUGGAUUUACCAACGGAUUUAACGACGAGUGUUGCCGGAAAAAUUUCCCGCGAAUUUACCGACGGAAUCACAGACGGAUCACCGAUGGAAAAUUACCGACGGAUUGAUCUCCGUCGUUAACCAUUUUUUUUUUAAUUUCUGCGAUUUUUAAAAUUACAGAUAGCGACGGAAACGCGUCCGUCGCUAUUAGCGACAGACGGUUCCGUCACUAAUAAAUCAUUUUGAAUAGCUAAAAAUAUUUUCUUUAAAAAUAGCGAUAGAAUUCAUGUUCGUCGCUAAUAGCAACAGACUCGUCUGUCGCUAUUCUGUUGCUGAGCCCUAAAAAAAACGCGAAUUUGACAGCCUUCUUGUUUAGUUUUUUCACAAAACCUUCACUUCUAUUUCUCAAAUUUUCCAAAUUUCCCCCCUCCGAUUACCCAUCUCCGGCGACCGGUCCUUCUCCUCCGCCACCCGCGUGCUCCCUCCCGUCGACUCCGUCCACGCCGCCGGCCGCGUCGGCCUCCUCCACAGCGCCGUUUCCUCCGCUGCCCGCGCCGCGCAUCUCCACAGCGCCUCGCCGGCGCCGUUUCCGCCGUGCCCCCGCGCCGCGCAUCACAUCUCCACAGCCAGGCUCCACACUCCCUCCCCGACGCCGUUUCCUCUGCUGCCAGGAUCCACAGGCGCUCACCGGCGCCGGAUUCCUCCACUGCCAGCGCCGCCAGCCACCUGCGGUCCUCCGCCGCCACCGGUCCUUCUCCUCCGCUGCCUGCGUCGCCAACCACCUGCCGCCGUCCGCCUCCACCGGCGACCGUCCGCUGCCUCCGAUUCCUUCCAGUCUAGGUUUGUAAUUUUUUUUUUUAAAUUUCCAUUAAUUAUUUGAAAUCCUAUUAUAUUUUAUUGUAAAUUUUGUAUUAAUAUUCUGUAAAAAUGUAUUUUUUAUUGAAUUGAAUUAUAUAAUGCUCAACAUAUAAUAUUUUUAUUGGAUUAAAUUUUUAUAUGCUCACUCACAUAAUUAUAAUAUUCUCACAUAUAGUAUUUUCAAGAACAUAUAAUAGUUUUAUAGUAUUGUAAAAUUCCCCUUCAAAAAUGUCUUUUUUAUUGGAUUAAAAAUGUCUUUUUAGUGUAAAUUUUCUUUAAUGAGAUGAAGAAAAAAUAAACUUGAUUGAAUUAUAGUAUUUUCAAGAAAAAUAAACUUGAUUGUUUAUUUUAUUAAAUUAUAAUUUUAUAUACUUUGGUUCUUGAAUAAUUAUUAUUAUUUCUUUUUUUUUUGUUUUGGAUUAAUUCUCAUUUGUAGUAUUUCACUCCACCAUUGCUUCUUGAGGGAGAAAAAGAAAGUUAAGGUGAACAAAAAGAAAAGACUAGUGACAAAACAAGUAUGUUUUCAUUACAUUAUCUUUUGUUUUGUUAGUAUGGCUCAAAUGGUAGCCAUGGUUAGAUUUUAAAAUUUUAGAUGAGCAUGUAUCUAAGUGUGUUUAUUCUUUUUUUAUAUAUAUUUUAGAUGAGCAUGUAUCUAGGUAGUAAAUGGAGAUUAGGUUGGGGGAUGGCUGUGUUCCAUCCCAUUUUGUUGCUAUGGUGAUGGCUUGGAGCCGCGUAUGUGUUUUUGUGUUUGAUUUAUAGAUUUUGUGUUGAACAUGUGUCAUAUAUAUAUUAUUGUAGGAAAAGAUGCAGGAAUUAGUUGCUUCUCAGAGUCAGCCUGUGGAUGAUGAUUCUGAUCCACCAGAGAUCGAUAUGAACAAGGUGUAUGUGGGGGCUGUUGGAGGACUCGACAAGAAGAAGAGAAUGUUUGGAGUUGGUGGACUUGCAGCAAGCUAUAGGAGCAGUGAGCAGUCGGUGGUACAUCUCAGUUCCAUGGCCAUACUGUCGAUCCACAGCGACUUGUGGACAUGGAGCAGCAGUUGCACGAUGCCUUAGCGGAGAUAGCACGUCAGAAGGAGAAGAUGAGGCAGAAAGAAGAGCAGACCGAUGCUCGAGGACGCUCAGCAGCGUAUGCUCGACCAGAUAUUGGCUAGGCUUCCACCUGGAUCUACGGGACCCACUCCACCCAUCGGACCAUCAUCUUGAUUAUUAUGUUGUGUUUCUGUACUUUGAAUACUUGAGUAUUUCUAUUAUGUUUCUUAACACUUGAAUAUUUUGUUGUGUUAUGACUAUAUGAAUGAAUUUUAGAAUUUUAAUAUUUUAUUGAUUUUAUGUUUUUGGUGAUUGGUGUAUUGAUAAUAUAGUAGAAUAAAAGUGUAUAACAGGACGUCAAUAACUGGGUAGAGCAAAUUAUAAAUUUUUUAUUUUUUUUAAAUCAGCGACAGAAUUGAAAUCCGUCGUUAAAUAUGGAGCGGACAAAUAGCUACGGAAUUUCAGUCCAUCGCUAUUUAGCGACGAAAUUUCAGUCCGUCGCUAUUUAGCGACGGAAAAUUCCGUCGCUGUUUUUUGACAACGCCUUCGUCGUCGUUCCCCGCCGACGGCCGCGCUGUCGUUGUCUCCGUCAAAAAAUUAGCGACGGAAAUAAAAUUCCGUUGGUAUUCAAUUUAGCGACCACUUUUACGACGACAGACGGCCUCCGUCGGUGAUUAAAAAUAGCGACGGAAAUUUGGAGAUUAGCAACGGAAAAUUCCGUCGCUAAUCGCCCAGUUUCUUGUAGUAUACAAGAGACGACUAGAGCCACCUCAGACUACUCAAGCAUGAAGUUGCUGAAAGUACUCUAUUGAACUGUACAAAUCUAACACUAAAUCCUCAGAUAAUUUGAAGGUUCGAAGAUUGUGUAUGAUGUUGUAGAACUGAUAUGACAUCUCACCAACCGCCAACAUAAAGAUUUUCAACGGCCAAAUAAAGGACUUUUUGGAACGAGCUCUCCAACGACUCUUUCUUGAUGAUCUCCUAUAUAUACCCAGGGGUUCAACACAAUCAUACUGAAACUCUACGUGAUCAAAAUCUAGAAGUAUUCUAAAGCCCCCAAGCUCAAGAACAUCUUUUCAGAAGAACUUUCAAAGAAAAUGAAAUAUUCAAAGCUCAAAGAUCUCUGAAGCCAUCAAGUGUAUUUUCCAUAGUGAUUAGGCAAAUAUUUCUUGUUAACUUUAGCCUAGUCAUUCGAGCAAAUUGAUCUUGUUGUAAUGUUAUCAUUGGAACAGUUUGCUCAACAUAGUUUAAAAUUAUCGCAACUCGAUCCUAGCCAGUGAUAGUGUAGGACGAGUAUUUACGACUAAAUAAAGAAGUGGAUAUAGAAGAUAGAAAUUAAACCAAAUAUCAUGCGAAAACAAACAAUAAGUAUAAACCAAUAUCAAUCAACAUGCAAGCUUAUAACAUCCUAAAUCAACAUAAACCAUAUCUCGAUGAGCAAUAAAGAGUCUCAAUAAGGCAGUGAGCUAUCAACAGAACUUGCAUAUAUAUAGACUUAAGCAUAAAUAAAUUCAUCGUUCAAUUCCCUUUAUAGGAUUACAACAAGGUUCCAAAAUCACAGUAAAAAACACUAUAUAUAUGGGACGGAUGCACAUUUCCUAGUAUGGGGGUACGUAGGGGCGGAUUCAGGAUUUAAUGUUAGGGGAGGUUGAAUUUGUUGAAUUACGACGUCUAAAAAUAUUUACACGGGGUUCGGGGGCGGAGCCCCCGAAGUAAUUUUUUUGGGCAUUUCGUACAAUAUAUUUUCAUGUAUUUUUUUAACAAUCACUUAAUAUAAUAGAUAAUUAUUCGCAAUUCAACAUCAACAUCAACAUCAACAUUGAGAGUUGAGAUUUGAGAAGAUAAUGGAGAACUUUUGAAUUAAUCAAAUAGAUGAGAGAAGAAUGCUUCUGCUUGGGAAUUCGCAAACUUCACAUUAAUUCUUUUAAUGUUUGGAAUUGGAGCAGACUGCAAGACUCGCACGUCAACUUAUAGUUAUAUGAGAAAUGAGCUGGACUGUGCUAGUAUUAAAUUAAAUAUACAUAAUAUAUAUAGGGUAAAGGGUUGGGCUUGCACUGGGCUCUAGCCAUAGAGUAGGUCCGCCCCUGGGGGUAUGUGCCCUCACAAUUUUUUUCUUUAUUGUUAUGAAUUAUAUACGUAUGUUUAUAUAAGUUUUAUUAUAUUUCAAUCCUAAAUUCCAAAUCAAUAUGUGCACUCACUUCUUAUUGUUAAUUUUUUUUAGUCGAAUUCUUAUUGUUGUUAUUAAUUAAAUACAUAUAUUUAUAUUAUUAUAUCUCAAUCCUCCCAAAUUUUAUAUAUCCCAUUAUUCAAUUCUGAAUCUCAAACUAACAUAAUUUUUUUGAAUGUAUUUUAUGUACUUCAUUCAUCCCUCAUAUUUAUGCCUACAUUUUCUUUUUGGUACGUUUCCCAAAUUUAUCCACAUUCUAUUUUUAAACACCACUCCAUACAUAAUUUUCAUAAUUUACCCUUGUAACAUACAUUAUUCACCCACAAUCUACGUAACAAUAUCCUUAAUGUGAUAUCCUUUUUUCCACUAUCAAUACUUUAAAUAUUUUUUUAUUAAAACAUGUACAGAGAACACCUAUACAUAUUUAUGGGGGACGGAGGGAGUAUACAAUUUUGGGCCCCAUAACAAAAAAAAUUCUGGAUCUGUCCCUAUAUAUAUAUAUAUAGGGUGUGGUUCUAGAGAGAACUACAUUAUUUGUGAGAACGGGAGAACCAUCAAAUCUAAUGCAUCAACUGUAAAAAUUAAUGCAUUCGCUGUUAAAAUUAAUGCACUAAAAAAAUAAAAAAAAAAUGCUCCCUUCAGGAUUCGAACCCAGGAUCUGCAUUCAUCCAACAAGAUGAUGCAUCCACCGUAGAUCUUGAUGAUCGAAUGGCUGAAAAUGGUUCUCCGGUCUUCUUUUAUUUAUGGUUCUUUUUUGAACCUCUCCCUAUAUAUAUAUAUAUAUAUAUAUAUAUAUAUAUAUAUAUAGUAGGUAGGUACUAUUGAGAAAGACAAAUAUUUAAAGAAGUGAGAAACAAUUAUUGAUGAACAUAUCAAUAAUUGUGACGAACAUGUAAGUAAUUUUUUAUAAACGGACGUAUUUGUUGAAAAAAUGUAUUUGUUUAAAAUUUCGCACUCCAGGAUUCGAUCUUCAAACGUUCAAUAAAAUUAUUGCUAUGUUCAUAAAAAAACUAUUGGCAUGUUCAACGUUUCUAACUUUCAGAAAAAAAAAUUAAUUUCUCCAUAGAACCUAACCCUAUAUAUAUGUGUGGGGGGGGGCGCUAAAAUAAAACACCUCUUAGAAUAUAAAUAGGAACCAUUUUCAGCCUUUAGAUCAUUAAGGUCUACGGUUGAUUCAUCACCUUAUUGGAUGAAUUCAUAGUCCCGAGUUCGAAUCUCAUAAGUAGCAAAAGUAAUUAUUUUUCGCAAUUUAUACAAUUACACUAUGAAUUCAUAUGUGUUAUACAUAAAAUUCAUACGUUUUAGACAGAUCGUAUUUUAUAUGUUAAAAAGUGUUUAUAUUUUAAUCUCCCCUAUAUGUGUGUGUGUUUUUAGGAUAAAUUUUGUUUCAAUGAACCAAUCGGCAAUUACAAGCAACAGAUAAGAACGAAAAUUUCAAAAUUAUACUACAAUUUUUUAUUUCAAUAAAAUUGUGAAUUUUAUCUUUUUCUUAUAGUCUGCAAAUGCAAUGUUUACAAUGCAAGAAAAGCAUUACUUUAAUUAUAGGGGUAAUUGCCUGUAAAUUCAUAACGUUUACACGGAAUUGGUUUUUACUAUUAAUUUUAUUUUUCUACUUUUAAUACAUAACCUUUCGGCAUUUGUCUUGAAUCGGGGAGCCGAGCAGACUCAUCGCCAUGGGGAGAAGACCUGCAAGGUGCUAUCGUCAAAUCAAGAACAAACCCUACCCAAAGUCACGAUUCUGUCGUGGUGUGCCUGAUCCCAAGAUCAGGAUUUAUGAUGUGGGAAUGAAAAGAAAGGGUGUUGAUGAAUUUCCUUUCUGUGUGCAUUUGGUCAGUUGGGAGAAGGAAAAUGUUUCAAGUGAGGCACUCGAAGCAGCACGUAUUGCAUGCAACAAGUACAUGACAAAGUUUGCUGGAAAGGAUGCUUUCCAUUUGAGAGUGAGGGUUCACCCAUUCCAUGUUCUUCGUAUCAACAAAAUGUUGUCAUGUGCCGGGGCUGAUAGGCUCCAGACUGGAAUGAGGGGUGCUUUUGGAAAGCCCUAGGUGUCUGUGCUCGUGUAGCCAUUGGUCAGGUCCUUCUGUCUGUUCGCUGCAAGGAUAGCAACAGCCCUCAUGCUCAGGAGGCUCUACGCCGUGCAAAAUUUAAGUUUCCUGGUCGUCAAAAGAUUAUCGUCAGCAGGAAAUGGGGAUUUACCAAGUACAAUCGAACUGACUAUCUGCGAUGGAAGUCUGAGAACAGGAUUAUGCCUGAUGGUGUGAAUGCCAAGCUUCUUGGAUGUCAUGGACCUUUGGCGCUAAGGCAACCUGGAAGAGCAUUUGUGGAUGCAGCUACUCUGUGAUGAGUUUUAUUGGAAUUUGAAUGUUGUUGCUUUCUGAGUACACAGAGAUUUUGCUUUUGUUUAUCUGGAUCUUCUUUGUUUCAGACUUGUUAGUUAACAUGUUGAAU
rnacentral:lncRNA from 1 species